rnacentral:rRNA from 1 species
AGUCGAACGGUCUUUUCGGAGAUAGUGGCGGACGGGUGAGUAACGCGUAAGAAUCUACCUUCAGGUUGGGGACCACCACUGGAAACGGGGGCUAAUACCCAAUGUGCCGAGAGGUGAAAGGGUUGCUGCCUGAAGAAGAGCUUGCGUCUGAUUAUCUAGUUGGUGGGGUAAGAGCCUACCAAGGCGACGAUCAGUAGCUGGUCUGAGAGGAUGAUCAGCCACACUGGGACUGAUACACGGCCCACACUCCUACGGGAGGCAGCAGUGGGGAAUUUUCCGCAAUGGGCGAAAGCCUGACGGAGCAAUACCGCGUGAGGGAGGAAGGAUCUUGGGUUGUAAACCUCUUUUCUCAGGGAAGAACAAAUUGAUAGUGCCUGCGGAAUAAGCAUCUUUUAUAUCUUUGCCCGAACCCGCGGUGUACAGAGGAUGCUUUCUUUUUCCUCUCUGCGUGCGCCCCAAAGGAAAGCAAGAGCCAUUGCACGUAUACCAUAUC